UUAGGGGCGUCAAAUUUCGUGUGAAUGUUAAGCGCCGAGAAAUGAUUUCCUGUAAACAGUAGACCCGAAAUAGCGUUACAACAUAUCCGGGAACAAGCGGUGAGGCCGGGGCGCGAGCAGUAGCUAGAGCAGUCACGAUAUCUCACUCGAACAUGGAGGUGAUCGAUCCGAAGCUUGUGGAAGGUAUCCGUCUAGCAGAAUACGCUCUGGGGCCAACGCCAAACUCGAAGCAGUGUUUGACACCCAGCCAAAUCAGCCACUUUCACAGCUUGCUCUCUGAUCCACUGGUGGCCAGCGGCUAUCUCAGUUGUUUGAUAGCGAAGCUGAUAUCACUGGACAGUCUGCAUGGCUACAAGCCGAUCAAGUCAGUUUUGUACGAUCUGUUGCAAAGACACCAAUUUAAUACCCAAGAUGGUUACAAGGAAUGGCUCGAAAAAGCACCAACAGGAGGAGGCUCAAAUCUAUUGUCUCCUUUUCAUGUGGUUCGAUCAAACCUCAUUGACACUGUCUGCUUCGUUGGAUGGCUGUUUUCCUGUACGGUCACAGACACACUGCGGACGUUGUGGAGACAGUGGCAGAUAGCAUGCUCUACUCAUUGUCGAUCCAAGUCUGAAAAAAUGGCCUUACAUCUCGUAGGAUCCAUAGUGAAUUCAUCUCAAUUGAAUAUUAGAGACAUCGUUUCCCUGUGCUGUCAAGGAUUCAAAGCUGGUCAUUUCUUGCCUGAUUUUUUGACACACAAGGAAAGCUCGCCAGAUGAAGUUGCUGGCAAUGACCAUCUUUUGUAUGCCAGACUUAGAAAAAUGGCAAGAACUUCUGAGAGUGCAAAGGAAACUCUUCAAGCUGUCAUCGAUCAGCUUGAAAGGCUUGAAUUCAAUGAAGAAGAUGAGCAAGUUUUUCCAGUUUUGCAGCUUUUUUGUGAGACUGUAAUGGCGGCUCCUUAUGUUCACCAAGAACAUUAUUUCAAUGCUUAUCGAGCUGUUCAGCCACUCUACUUGUGGCCUCUUCCACAUUGUGAUGUUGCUAGAGAUGUCAUGAACUUUAUUCAAGAUGAAAUGAAAUCUCCAGGAAUCCAUUUUCGACGUCGGUUGAUUUCUGAACACAAUCUGAAUGUAAAACAAUUCCUCUCUCAUGGAGACAGAGAACACAGUAUUCACGUUUUAGUGGACACAUCUGCUAUUGCAGCUGAUUCUCUUUACUCUUCACUUGCACACCAGGAAUGCCUAACUGAAACACAUUUACAACAAUUACUUAUUAAACAUACACUUCUCAGUUAUUAUGGUACAAACUGUAAUUUGGCGGAUGUUGAAGAAGGCCUUUCGCUUUGUGCAGCUGACGGAUCAAUUGAAAGUCUUUGCAAUGCUGCUGUUCAAUAUUCUGAACAGGCAGCUGGGUUUGCAAGUGAAGAGAAAGCUCUGGAUGUGCUGGGAGACAGACUUGAGUCUUUAAUGGAAAGAAUCACUUCUCAAGUGGCAAAAUCUAAUGAAUCUUCUGCCAUGGCUACUAAUGGAUGUGAUGACAAAGAAACAGUGGCUGUUGCUCUUCCCAGGCCUUGCAUAGAACGUCAUACAUUUAAUAGUGAAGAGUCAACUAGUGCUCACUCUUCCUUAUUUGAAAUUCUAUUUAAAUCAGAUUAUUUUGAUAUGAGGCCACGAAACUCUAUUUCUCCUCCAACUUGUUUUGACGAUGGAUUUAAUGUUAGAGCAAAUUCAACAGGCAGCAGGACAAGCUACGACAGUUUGGGCAGCUCGUUCACCUUGGAAGACACACCACCUUCCAGCAUUCUGCCUGAAAUUAAAGAGGAGACUGAAGCAGGAUUUGAAAAUGAGGAGGGGGGAAAAUGUAUCCCUCAUUGUUGUGUGUCUUCUUCUGAUACUUGUACUGAUGUAAGAUGCAGUUCAUGUGUAAGUUGCACAAGUUUGGACAGUACUGGUAGUAGUGCUGUUUAUGGAACGCCAGAUGUCAAUAGAAAAUCACACCUUGCUGUGGAAUCAGACUUGCCAUUGGUAACAUCAGCAGGAGAAGAUGUUGUGUUGCCUAAUAUUUUAGUAGUCGAACCGUCUCGUGAAUUAGUGGCACGUAAUACUUCACUUUCUGUUUUAUCGGUGAUUUCUGAGAUUACAGCUAAAGGAGAGCAUAAUGAUAAACAGGAUUAUGAGCAGCAUGCUUUGCAUGCUACUGAUCAGCAUAGUGCAUCAUUGCAGUGUGAUCAAACUCCCACUUUGCUUGAAGUACCAUUGAGACACUCUACAUGUCAAACAGUUGCUGGUGAAAUUCCAGUUCGGAAAGGAAUCACUAGCAUUUAUGAAUAUCAAGACAAAGUAAAGGCGGGAGCAGAUCGAUCAUUAUUGCAACGAUCUCGACUGUUAAGUUUGGAUGAAACAGAAAGAAGUAAACCCAGUUUGUUUAAGAUAGUAGUUGCUGGCCCAGAUCAAGGGAUCAACAGUGUUGCUUCUGCAUAUGCUGACAUAAGGGCAACUCAUUCAAUUUUUUUUGAAAAGGCAGAAGUGCGGUUUUAUUACCUUCCACUUAGUGCUCGUACGAAGACAUCUGAUUUGAAUCACACAUUGGGUGCAUCAAAACGGUUGUCACUACCGAAAGUACUUGGUCGUCGGAGCAGCUGGAGUACCAGUACUGAUCAUUGUAGCAACAAUGACAAGAUAUCAAAGCAUUGUGCCAAGAAUUGGCUAGCUGAUUUUAUGGCAAAGAUUGAUGGAUGGCAUGUUCGUCAUGUAACAUCUGCUGUGACAAGGGCGUUGAAUGUUUUACCUCACACAAAGGAAAGAGAAGGGGAUCACACAAAGAAGGAAGCAGCAGAUGAGAAGGAUUUAGAAAAUGUCGAACAUAAUACUACUCCUUUUGGGCUUGUGCAAGACUCUAUAGUUGGUAUGUGUCGAUUUGCGAGAUACAAAGUUGGCAUCAAAUUGUACAGUGUAAGGAUUUGGCAACAUGGUAAUGAUCAAGCAGUUGAGCCAUCUUCCAAGCUUGUAAUGGUUCAGCGACUUGAAGUUCUUGGAGCCGGGCAGCUCAGAUAUCUCAAUGAAUUCACUGAAACACGUAACCAGCUCUCAGUUCUCCACGUAACAGGGUCACUGGUGACAGUGGAUGGACAUCAUCUGGGCCCGUUUACUUUGCCUGAUAAAUCCUAUUGGUCACUAACAAUUUCAAAUAUACCUCGUCCAGGAGAUACAUGUGUAGCUAAUCCAGGUUGGCAAUUCUUGUUUGACUUGUGUAUAGUCGCUAGUUGUGUAGGAUCUUCUACCGCUGCACAACUCCAACUUCACAAUUAUAUAACGGUCAUCUCAACAAUUUGUAUAGUGCACCAAAUGCAAUCAAUUGGCCUGAAGUCUGCACCUAAAAUUGUAGAGAGUCUUCUUUUUUACUCUUUGUUUAGCAUGAAAAGGAUUGCCUAAGAUUUGGCUAGGCUAAGUCAGUCAACUACGUACUUUCCAGUCAGCUUGUAGUGAUUAGAAAUCAUUUGAUUUAAUCUCACAGUAUGACGUAUGAGAAUCUUAUUGAUUUACAGAAACAUCUGGUUUGGAACUUGCACUGGUGCAAGGUGUUCAUUUGCCUCUAAGAAUAGGCUUCAAGGGCAGACGAUCUGGGCCCAAAGAUGAGAAGGAAGUUCUUCACGUCAAUGAGGUGCAAGUUACAUCACAGAAGCCUUUCAAUGUAG